GCGCGAUUAGCUCAGCUGGAUAGAGCGUUGGCCUCCGGAGCCAAAGGCCACAGGUUCGAGUCCUGUAUCGCGCG
rnacentral:tRNA from 1 species